GGACAACCUCGGGAAACCGUGGGUAAUACCGGGUACUCCGCCACCGCCGCAUGGGGGAAACGGGAGAGCGUAUGCGGCGGGGGAUGGGCCCGCGGCCUGUUAGUUAGUUGGCGGGGCAACGGCCCACCAAGGCGAUUAUGGGUAGCUGGGUUGAGAGACCGACCAGCCAGAUUGGGAGUGAGACACGGCCCAGACUCCUACGGGAGGCAGCACUGGGGAAUCUUGCGCAAUGGGGGCAACCCUGACGCAGCGACGCCGCGUGCGGGACGAAGGCCUUCGGGUCGUAAACCGCUUUCAGCAGGGACGAGGCCGCAAGGUGACGGUACCUGCAGAAGAAGCCCCGGCUAACUACGUGCCAGCAGCCGCGGUAAUACGUAGGGGGCGAGCGUUAUCCGGAUUCAUUGGGCGUAAAGCGCUCGUAGGCUGCCCGCUAGGUCCGGGGUCAAAUCCGGGGGCUCAACCCCCGCACGCCCCGGAUACCGGCGGGCUUGAGUCGGGUAGGGGAAGGCGGAAUUCCAGGUGUAGCGGUGGAAUGCGCAGAUAUCUGGAAGAACACCGGUGGCGAAGGCGGCCUUCUGGGCCUCGACUGACGCUGAGGAGCGAAAGCUGGGGGAGCGAACAGGAUUAGAUACCCUGGUAGUCCCAGCCGUAAACGAUGGACGCUAGGUGUGGGGGGAUUGUCCCUCCGUGCCGCAG
rnacentral:rRNA from 1 species